UUACUUUGGCAGAACAUAUACUAAAAUUGGAACAAUACUGAAAAGAUUAGGAUGGCCCCUGUACAAGGAUGACACCCAAAUAUGGGAAGUAUUUCAUAUUUUG